rnacentral:lncRNA from 1 species
GCAGAUGAAGAUGUUCCGAAAUGAGUGGCGUGACGUGGUGCUCAUCCAUAGGCAAUCCAUCCCACCGUGCUAGUAUGUAGUGGGAACACAGCUCCACAACCUCUCUGGUCUUGUGUUCUACUGCGCUUAUUAAACCUUGUGAAGAAGAAAUAUUAUCAAUCAUGUAUCUCUCUAUUAACAUCCACUCGCUCAAUUGAUCGGCUGUGGUAGUAAUAAAUGUGUUAGGAAGUUAGAAAGAUAAAAAAGAUAUGUAUGCCUACUCAAAUGGCACUUGGUGUAGCAUUAGUAAAUUCAUACACCUGUGGGUAGGUUGAAAGGCCAGGAUUUGUUCUUCUCCAUGAGAUGCUCUCUGGUAACACCGAAUUGAUGGGUGAAGAGGGUUGUUUUUUAUCUAUUGAUGAACAAGGAGAAUUGAGUAAAAAGGGCAAAUAGUUAUUUGUAUAUUACGCUAGCAAAUGUUCAUUGAUUCGAUCUUGGAAGAUUAAAGGUAAAUUAAUGUAUGUUCAUAGCGAAGAUAUUGAAAGGAAGAAUCACAGCGGAUGAAACCAAAGGCGUAGCAUAGAUAAAUAACACUGUCUUAACACGAGGACAUAGACUUUAUACUUAUACAUGUCCAGAUUGAAGUUCAAAAAGGAUAAAGAUUUCUAGGCCGAAGCUAUGAGUAGACAGCUUCGCAUCUUAUUUAAGCAACCUAGGAGACUAAACACAACAAACACAGAGCCGCUUCCUAGCGGUGAAGCCAUACAUAUACAGCUUCACAUGGCAACGAGACAGUUCAGCAGGCUCAAUAUGACGCUCAUGGGGAUGGGACAUAGUCAUCAUCUAUGUGUUGAUGAAUAUCAUCCGCUGAAUCUUCAUCUGAGUGGCCACUGUAGCUCCAUUCAGGCACUUCAUCAUCUGAGUACAUGCCUUUUUCCUCUAGGAACUGAGAUGUCGUAGUUGUAGAGCUUUGAAGCGCGACAAUUGAACUGUGAAUCUCCAUGAUAGCUUGCUUCAUAUUAGAAACACACAUUGAGGUAGCAGGGUCUAAGAAAACGGCAGCAAGGUCUUGGAUUCUGUUUGAUGCAUUGUGCACUUGCUUCACAUAGUUGCAUGCUUCUUUAGUUAUCUGCUUGAUGGUUUUGCUGUGCUGGUUGAUUUCAUCUGACUGUUCUAGCAACCUGGCUGAUAAUCUUGUAUGUGCCAUUUUCAUUUGCUCUAGUUGAUAAUAGUUAUAGUCCACAAGCACCUUACCCUAUUUGUUCUGCAUGUAUUCGAUGGCCUUCUCGGCUGCAUGAUUCAUUGAUGCUACCACAUUCUGACAUAUACGGCUUGAUAAUUUAGUCCGGCACGCUGAAGCAUGGUACCGUGCUUUUGUGCGAUGAAAUUGAAUCUCUGUUCUAAAUCGAUUUUGUGAAAGAUGAUGCACAAAGUACACUGGUUUAGGGAGACCGAGUUUCUCGAACAUUGCUUCAGCCAGUGAUGUGCUGGAUAGCUCAACCAACUCCAUGAGAAUAGAUCCACAAGAUAAACCCAAAGGGUUGGCAGAAGGUAUAAACACAGCAUCCAUUAAGAACAAUAAGCACUGAGCUUUAGAUUAUAUAUAUGCACUAACAAUUAAAGAACUUUGUACUGAACCUAUGGGAAAACGAAAUUUUAAUAUCAUGAGGACAUCGGGAGAGCCAAGCAUGUAUCGGGAUAGGAAAUGAAACCUAUCAGACCCUUCCUCCAACCGAUUUUAUGUGGAUAAGAAAAAAAUAAGAAAGCAUUUAUAUGGACAGUGUAUUGUAAAGCAGGAGUAUGGCUGGAGCUAAAAUAUAAGGAUAUACCUUGGUAAUUAGAUUUGUCCUAGGUGGAGGAUCUUGUUGCCCUUGGUGAGCAUCAGAACGGAUUAACGGAUCUAAGAUGCAAGAAAUCAAAACGAGUUAGAGAGAGAGAGGGAUGGGGAUUUCUCCAUCUAGCAACACCAUGGGGGGGUGAGGAGGAGGGAGCGAGAGGUUCCCAUGAGGAUUACCUGCAAGUUGGCUGGCUGGGAGCUCCUCUGCUUGCGGGGGAUCCAGGCGACCGCGGGUACAAUGCAGGUAGAGAGCAGACGAGGGUGAGCGGAUGAGGGUGAGUAGAUGUGGGAAGGAGAUAAGAACGGGGCAGCAGACAGAAAGAUUUUUUUACAGCAACAGGAUAAGGUUGGGUGGAUGUGGCAGGCUAGAAGAAG